rnacentral:pre_miRNA from 1 species
UGAUGUGGUUGACUUGAUGUAAUUGACUUGAUGUAGUUUCAACUACAUCAAGUCAAUUACAUCAAGUCAACUACAUCA